rnacentral:RNase_P_RNA from 1 species
UAAAGUAAUCGAACAAUCGCGCCCUUCAGGGUGAGGAAAGUCCGUGCAUUCAAGGACAGACAGCCGGAGAAACUCCGGACGGCGUGAGUCGGUGGAAAGUGCCACAGAAAUGAAAGACUGCCGAUGGGCUUCAAAGUCACAGGCGAUGGUGCAACGGUGAGUUAAGAGCUUCACCGGCGAUAUUGAGAAAUAUCGGCCAGGUAAACCCCUGUCGAAUGCAAGGUUAAAUCGAAACACAGGGUGUCCGCCCUUUCGGAAAAACCGCUUGAGAUCAGGAGUAAUCCCGAUACCAGACAGAUGAUUGUUUAGAAACAGAACACGGCUUAUGAGUUGCUUUAUUUU